CAUCGCAUCUCUUUUAAUCUCAUUCCGAGCAAUCUGUACGCUUUUCACCGUAAGUGUAUCGUAUUUUCUAAUGGAAAAAUAUAGAUGAUCCCCGGCAAUGUUGUGUGCUGGCAGGUUUUAUAGGGGAGCGUUUGAGCACUAAUGAACACACCUACAAAGCUGGAUGAUUCCGAAUUCACUACGGGCAGGUGAGGAUAAUGCUGGGUUCAUUAUUCCGAUUCUUUUCAUCUGUGUUCCACUUUGUGACUGCUUGUGAUUGGCCCUCUUCAUACAACGCGACAGAAUCAUAUCAGCAGCCACCAACCCUGGAGUGACCGCUAAAGGUACUAAAAAUGGAGGGGCAUAAACUGUUGUCUGAACAGCCAUGGAAGCCUAAUGAAGAUUGGAAGAGCCGCCUAGAAAAACCCAGCUUCCUCCACAUUGUGUAGAACAUGGCUACUCAGAGGUCCGACAGCCAGGCUCUCGGGGCCGAAAAGACUUUCUGCGGUCACCAGACAAGAAGUCCAGAAGAACACAUAGGUCAUCAGCAAGAGCCACAAACAGCCAACCAAACUCCUGAGUCAAAUCCAAAGGAGAUGCUACUUGUAUGUGUUACAUUCACAGAGCUCUCAUCCUGAUCGUGAUAUUUACUGAACUCAAAGGGUAAACCUAAAAGAAAUAAGUGAUAAAAAAAAAAAAGGUGAAAUCAAAACUCAGAAGGAUAGACCAAAGAGCAUUUUUGUUCUAUUUUGUUAAAAAUAUAAUCAGAUACUAGGCUUAAAUCGGAGUUGGGUUGAAUCUCAAGAGCAGCGGAAGUGAAAGGAAGUUGUUUGUUGACAGUCUGACGGUGGCCCUCGCUAAGACAGGGAUCCCCACCUUUAAUAAUAACCAACGAUGCGUACACCACGAGGCUCGCCUCUCUUCUAAUAUUAUGGUUAAAAUUGUGCCGGCCGAAUCAAAUGCAAUUACCGCUUAAGGCGGAAUGGAUGGAAACCCCCAGCUUCUGCACAUUAGAAAGAUUCAGUGGAUGAGGGGAGGAA